UCUCUAUGCAAAGUGAACUUCCUCACAGUCUGCUAUAAAGACUUGAUAUCAUGCUGUCAGUUGCAGCAGAAGAAGAGAAGCUCCCAUCAGAUCACCUUCAAUAGCAACCAUGUUCUCUGUAGCUCUGCUGCUGCUGCUGGCUGCUGGAUCCUGUGUGAACAGUAUUGAUCUCAUCCAGACAGACUCAAUGGUUGUGCAGCCUGGACAGUCUCUGACCAUCAGCUGUCAGGUCUCUGGUUAUUCUUUGAUUGAUAACAGCUAUGCAACAGGUUGGAUCAGACAGAGUGAAGGAAAACCAAUGGACUGGAUUUCCCAUCAGUGGGGAACAAGUGGCCUUUACCAAAAUAAUGCUCUGAAGAACAAGUUCAGCUACAGCAGAGACACUUCUGCUCUAACAGUGACUCUAAAAGGACAGAAUGUGCAGCCUGAGGACACAGCUGUGUAUUACUGUGUACGUUACCCCACAGUGAUACAAACCACCAACUGACCUGCACAAAUACCCAGCAACCAGCAAGACUCAA